UACGAAGGGGGGCUAGCGUUGCUCGGAUUGACUGGGCGUAAAGGGCGCGUAGGCGGUUCGUACAGUCAGACGUGAAAUUCCUGGGCUCAACCUGGGGGCUGCGUUUGAUACGUGCGGACUUGAGUGCGGAAGAGGGUCGUGGAAUUCCCAGUGUAGAGGUGAAAUUCGUAGGUAUUGGGAAGAACACCGGUGGCGAAGGCGGCGACCUGGUCCGAUACUGACGCUGAGGCGCGAAAGCGUGGGGAGCAAACAGG
rnacentral:rRNA from 1 species